UCUACGGGGUGCAGCAGUGAGGAAUAUUGGUCAAUGGUCGGGAGACUGAACCAGCCAAGCCGCGUGAGGGAUGAAGGUACAGAGUAUCGUAAACCUCUUUUGUCAGGGAACAAAGCCGGGGACGUGUCCCCGGAUGAGUGUACCUGAUGAAAAAGCAUCGGCUAACUCCGUGCCAGCAGCCGCGGUAAUACGGAGGAUACGAGCGUUAUCCGGUUUUAUUGGGUUUAAAGGGGGCGCAGGCGGUCUGUUAAGUCCGCGGUAAAAGCCCGGGGCUAAACCGCGGCCCGCCGUUGAAACUGGCAGUCUCGAGUUGGAGAGAGGUAGGCGGAAUGCGCGGUGUAGCGGGGAAAUGCAUAGAUAUCGCGCAGAACUCCGAUUGCGAAGGCAGCAUGCCGGCUCCACACUGACGCUGAGGCACGAAAGCGUGGGUAUCGAACAGGAUUAGAUACCCGAGUAGUC
rnacentral:rRNA from 1 species